UACAUUGAUUUGAGCACAUAACUGUCAAAAACCCAACUCGUCCUUUUGCAUCCUCUCUCUAAGCAAAGAAGAGAGAGAGAGAGGAAGAGAGGAGAGAAAGAGAGCUUAUCCUGGAGGUUGAAGGCAGCUCUCAGUUUGUACGGAGAGAGCGUUCACAUUAUUCACAGUUCACACUACCAACCCAAAAUCCUUCCUAAAACUAAACGACCAUUACAGUUCUUUAAACUUGAGCUACCAUGAAAGACAAUCGACAAUUGGAUCCGCCAUUGGGAAAAGCUUUCUGCGGUUAGCAAACUGACGAACUAAGAACUUUCUCGAUACUAAUUUUUGACAGAGACUUCAGAAAUUUGAAAUUCUUUUCUUCGUUCUGGAAUUUUGUUCCCACCGCCGUUCCAUUUCAUUCUGUUUUCUUGCGGUUUCAGAGCGUCAGGGAGACGUAAUCAAACUGUUGAGUGAGCGGCUUCGAGUUCUUCCUCUUUCUUGUUGGUUAAUUAAACGGAUUCCAAUCCGGUUAUGUUGUUUUCUCAUUUUUUACUUCUUUAGAUUUAAAUAAAACAAUGAAUUACUGCGUUCCUGAUUUUGAGACCGACGAAGAUUCCUUGCUUCCUUCUUCUUCCUCCGUGCCAUCGCGCUCCAAGACGUCUUCUAUGUUAGAUGGUGAGGUUAUGGAACUUCUUUGGCAGAACGGUCAAGUAGUAAUGCACAGUCCGAACCAGAAAUCCAGGAUGAAAUCGCCGCAGUCUACAACUGCGGAGCAAAUCACGAACAGAGAUACUCGACGUAUGAGUCAACAGGAGGAACCGCAGCUCUUCAUGCAGGAGGACGAAAUGAUUUCGUGGCUUCAUUAUCCUCUGGUUGAUGAUUCUACUUUGGAGAAUAGUUUCUGUGAUGAACUUCUCUAUCCUUCUAAUCCUCAGAGUAUUGAGCGAAACGCCGGCGUUUCUGCACAAGUUCGUGCUACUCAUGGCAUGGAGUUUCGGCCGCUCACGGCGAUGACGAGGACGGCGACCUCAACGAUGGUUGCUCGGCCGCCAAAUCCACCGAUGAGAAGAACGGAAACGGAAACGAAGGUAAAUAGUUUCGGGCUCUUCUCCAGGCACCCACGGAGUAUCGAAUCUGCUCCGUCCAAUUCGAAGAGCAUGGUAAGGGAAUCUACAGUGGUCGGUUCGACUUCAAGCAACACGACGGUGUUGACGCCGGAAACAAGGAGUUCGGAAGUACAGAGGACGGCUAUAACCGAUAUAUUAAGCGGUGGUUUAACCUGCAGUGGUGGAGUUGCAGCUCUGUCGACUGGCAACGGUGGAGAACUGAUGAAGAUGGUAGUAAGUGAAACAGAACCGGUUCAAAGGACGACGAGUCUUGAGGAUCGGAAGCGGAAAGGAAAAGAAACGGACGACUCCGAUUACCUAUGCUAUAGCACGGAUGUUGAAUUCGAAUCUACUGAUGCAAAGAAGCAAGUUCGUGGAUCGACCUCUACAAAGAGAUCUCGUGCUGCUGAGGUCCAUAAUCUCUCAGAGCGAAGAAGAAGAGAUCGGAUAAAUGAAAAGAUGAAAGCUUUGCAGGAGCUUAUACCCCGGUGUAACAAGGCGGACAAAGCUUCAAUGUUGGAUGAGGCAAUUGAAUACUUGAAGACACUUCAGUUACAAGUUCAGAUGAUGUCCAUGGGAUGUGGUAUGGUGCCUAUGAUGUAUCCUGGUGUCCAACAAUUUAUGCCUCCAAUGGGAAUGGGACUUGGAAUGGGCAUGGGUAUCGGCAUGGAAGCAGGUGUGAACUGUCCCAUGAUGCCAUAUCCUAACAUGCUAGCUGGACCGAUGUUUCCGAGGCUAGCUGGAGCCACUCAACUUGGACCGUCUUUCUCUUUUCCACCCUUUCAUAUGGCACAUGUUUCCAAUGCUGAUCCAUCAAGAAUUCAAGAAACAAAUCAGUCAGAUCAAAUGCACAGCUCAUCAGGAAUGCAAAAUAUAAAUCUGCCAAGGGCCUCGAGUUCAUUUGAUAGCUAUCAUCAGUUUCCUGGUUCCCAACAGAUGCAAAUGUCAGCAGCAUCAUCACAACCUUCCCCACAGCAUGAACCGCCAGCCCGCUACCAGGAACACAAUCAACAUACACAGACUUGAAAACAUCGACAAUCAUGAAACAGGGAGUCCUACCAUGGAUCCGUGUUGAAAUUGGAGGAAGCAUGGAAUUUCUUAGAUAGGGCCCUACAUUACAUGCCAGAAAAUUUUGUAGCUAGAGCAUUCGAAGAGGAAAGGGAAACGAGAAAGAAGACAAAGGCUAGUGAAGUGAAGACUGAGGAGAAUCAAGAGAACGAUAAUAAGUAUUUUAACAUAUUCAAUCUAAAUUUUGAUAUUUGUUUGUUUCUUGUUGAUUAUAAUCUUCUACCUAUGAGUUUGAUUAGAUUUGAAUCACAGCUUAGGCAAAGAAACGAAGGAGGGAUACAACAGCUCCCUCGCAUUGCACUAUUUGCAGAUGAGAGAGACAUAAUCGACGAAAAUAUCUCAACCGAGGUAUAAUGAGGCAUAGUUAAUGUAGAAAUACUAAUAUUGAUUGUAGUGUUUUUGUAUUUCACUUCAAUGUAAUAUUGACGUAAUUUCUAUUGUUAUUUGAAUGAUCACUUACGUACAAAAUUAGUUUUAUUCUUAAUCCAUGAUAGUUUGUCCA